GAGAGAGAGAGAGAGAGAGAUCUCUUAGAGAGGAAGAUAGCUGCUGUGUAAGGAAGAGAGCUCAAGCUGCUGCCUUUUUUUCUCUUCUGUUUUUGGCGUGAGGUAAGUGGGCUGCUAGGGUUUUAGUUGUAUUUGUUUUAAAAAUAUCAAAAAAAGUAAAAAAAAAAAUUACCGUUAGUUUAAAGAAGCACUGCCUCUCCCGUCGUUGGCUUGAGGCAUCGCCUUUCGGAAGACAAGCUGGCGCACCUAGGCGAGGCGGCACAGGGGUGCCUCGCCUCACCUCACCUGGCACAUUGCCCGGGCACCUCGGUCGCCUUUAAUAACACUGGUGCAGAUAAAUGUGUAUGGAUGUGUGCAUAUUAUAGGGAGAGAGAGAAAACAUGGUUUGUGGGUUUUAAUAAGUGAUGUGUUUUAGAAGUAUUUAUGAAAAAAAAAAGGUGAAGAAAAAGGAAAACUGCAAUAGCUUUUGUGAACAAGUUGUGUUUUUACCUCAAGAGAGGGGGGAAAAAAACAAAACCACAAUCGCAUUGUUGCUGAAUAUAGCCAAGUCAUCCAUUCAUUUUUCUUCAUACAAAUGCAAUGUCUGAAAAACUGGUCAUUUGAGUUGCAGCUGAAAAUAUGCAAGGGCAUAU
rnacentral:misc_RNA from 1 species